GACGAACGCUGGCGGCGUGCUUAACACAUGCAAGUCGAACGGAAAGGCCCUGCUUUUGUGGGGUGCUCGAGUGGCGAACGGGUGAGUAACACGUGAGUAACCUUCCCUUUACUUUGGGAUAACUUCAGGAAACUGUGGCUAAUACCGGAUAGGAGCUCCUGCUGCAUGGUGGGGGUUGGAAAGUUUCGGCGGUUGGGGAUGGACUCGCGGCUUAUCAGCUUGUUGGUGGGGUAGUGGCUUACCAAGGCUUUGACGGGUAGCCGGCCUGAGAGGGUGACCGGCAACAUUGGGACUGAGAUACGGCCCAGACUCCUACGGGAGGAAGAAGUGGGGAAUAUUGAAAAAUGGGCGGAAGCCUGAGGCAGAAACGCCGCGGGCGGGAUGACGGCCUUCGGGUUGUAAACCGCUUUCGCCUGUGACGAAGCGUGAGUGACGGUAAUGGGUAAAGAAGCACCGGCUAACUACGUG
rnacentral:rRNA from 1 species